rnacentral:lncRNA from 1 species
ACUUUCUUCAGGGCUAUCAGAUGAAGGCAGCAACGAAAACACCACAAGACCAACUUCAGGCUGGAGCUGAUGAUGCCACACAGCGAGAAAAAAGAAAAUAGACUCUACUUAGAAAUGAAACUCAACUAAAGGUAAAAGAUGUCAGGAACAUCUCCAAGAAAGCCAGAGUCAGCCUCUAAACUUUGCAUCAAGAACGCAAUGGCUUCCCUGAGGGCCCAGGGACGCUUGGCAGCUGUGAGGCAGCCCCUUCUCUGCUGUCGAGGAACUGGACACUUCUCCUAUCCCUUCCCACAAGGGGCUUCCUGGAGCUCCUGCAACCCCAGGCAUUAGUUCCAGUGCAGUUCUAGGAUCAGAUCAAUUCACUCGACAACAAGAGAAACAAAUGGAGAUUCCUACACAAAGACUUUCAAGCACAAAGAAAUCCUGCUGCCUGUAAAGUGGAGCUGCCUCAGCUCUUGAUGAACGACAGAAAAUCUCACAUUCCAGGAAUUCAGAUGAAGUGAAGUGCUCUCAUGGGGACCAGGCAUGGUUAUUCCAGUCCACUGCCCUGCAAGCCUCAAGGGAAGCCAACUGCCCUUCAGCAAGUCACACCUGCCUUGGUGGAGGCCUUGAUUGGAAGUGCCACACGCUACAUGUCCAGUCCUGAGCGGGAGAAUCGGUGUAGGGACGUUGUGGGGAUGCCGGCUGUGGCCAGAUCAGGUCCAGCUACAGAAGAAUGAAGACUCCACCUGAGGGCUGGAAAAACAAAACCUCAAGUGUGAGGCAGCCAACCUGUUACCUCGAGGGACUGUCCCGCAGCACAGCGGGGCCAUGGGAACAG